rnacentral:rRNA from 1 species
UACGGGGGGAGCAAGCGUUGUUCGGAUUCACUGGGUUUAAAGGGUGCGUAGGCGGGUAAGUAAGUCCGUGGUGAAAUCUCUGAGCUUAACUCAGAAACUGCCGUGGAUACUAUUUGCCUUGAAUAUUGUGGAGGUGAGCGGAAUAUGUCAUGUAGCGGUGAAAUGCUUAGAUAUGACAUAGAACACCAAUUGCGAAGGCAGCUCACUACACAAUCAUUGACGCUGAGGCACGAAAGCGUGGGGAUCAAACAGG